rnacentral:rRNA from 1 species
GAUGAACGCUGGCGGCGUGCCUAAUACAUGCAAGUCGAACGAACAGACGAUGAUCUUGCUCCUCUGACGUUAGCCGCGGACGUGUGAGUAACACGUGUAUAACCUACCUGUAAUACUGGGAUAACUUCGGGAAACCGGAUCUAAUACCGUAUAAUCUAUUGAACCACAUGGGGCAAUGGUGAAAUACGGUUUUUCUGGCACGUAUAGAUGCAUCCGCGCCUCAUUAGCUAGUUGUUAAUGUAACGGCUUACCAAGGCAACGAUGCGUAACCGCCCUGAGAGGGUGAGCUGCCACACUGGAACUGAGACACGGCCCCGACUGCUCUGGGAGGCAGCAGUAGGGACUCUUGCGCACUGGGCGAAAGACUGACGGAGAAACGCCGCGUGAGUGAUGAAGGUACUCCGCUCGUAAAACUCUGUUAUUAGGGAAGAAAAAAUGUUUAAGUAACUAUGAACGUCUUGACGGUACAUAAUCAGAAAGCCACGGCUAAAUCCGUG